GUACAAGAAGUCGCGGUAUGUGUGAAAGACAAUGUGCGGGGAACUUUUUCAACGCGAAUUAUUAUUCUGAAGAUGAGUUGUUGCUCACCGAUCGGUAUAUAUAAAGGAAAAUUCAGUCCGAAUCCUUCAGUUAAGCUUUUACUUAGCAAGUUAACAGUUGUGUUCAGUGGUUACAAAAGUAGUUGUUUUAGCCAGCCAAUAAAACUCUCAAAAUGAAUAACACAUUUUUAAUGGUACUCCUCUUGACCGUCUUGAUAUUUGCCGUGCUGAACAUCUACGGGGUUGAAGCUGGAUGCAAUGGACUCCGCAGAGCAACGUGUCACCUUCAAUGCGCUAAAAAGUUAACUUCUUGUGACGUUCACACUUGUCAUUGCUACGAGAACUGAUGAUUUCCCGUGUUGUAAUGAAGAAAAAGCUCAAUUUGCAGCAAUGAAUUUGUAAAUGCAGAUUGAUAUCCGUAUUGUAAUCCCUAAUCACUAAUUUAAUGUUUCUAAUAAAUUAAUAAAAUUUUGAAAGUGUGAAAAUAA